rnacentral:tRNA from 1 species
AGGGGUGUGGUGAAGUGGUAUCACACUGGUCUCCAAAACCAUUAGUGGGGGUUCGAUUCCCUCCACCCCUGCCA